rnacentral:rRNA from 1 species
CUCGGUGCGUGCCUAAUACAUGCAGUCGAGCGGACCGACGGGAGCUUGCUCCCUUAGGUUAGCGGCGGACGGGUGAGUAACACGUGGGUAACCUGCCUGUAAGACUGGGAUAACUCCGGGAAACCGGGGCUAAUACCGGAUGCUUGAUUGAACCGCAUGGUUCAAUCAUAAAAGGUGGCUUUUAGCUACCACUUACAGAUGGACCCGCGGCGCAUUAGCUAGUUGGUGAGGUAACGGCUCACCAAGGCAACGAUGCGUAGCCGACCUGAGAGGGUGAUCGGCCACACUGGGACUGAGACACGGCCCAGACUCCUACGGGAGGCAGCAAUAGGGAAUCUUCCGCAAUGGACGAAAGUCUGACCGAGCAACGCCGCGUGAGUGAUGAAGGUUUUCGGAUCGUAAAACUCUGUUGUUAGGGAAGAACAAGUCCGUUCGAAUAGGGCGGUACCUUGACGGUACCUAACCAGAAAGCCACGGCUAACUACGUGCCAGCAGCCGCGGUAAUACGUAGGUGGCAAGCGUUGUCCGGAAUUAUUGGGCGUAAAGCGCGCCCAGGCGGUUUCUUAAGUCUGAUGUGAAAGCCCCCGGCUCAACCGGGGAGGGUCAUUGGAAACUGGGGAACUUGAGUGCAGAAGAGG